UUGAGCGGAGAUUAUGGAGCUUGCUUUAUAUAACUUAGCAGCGAACGGGUGAGUAACACGUAGAUAAUCUAUCCUAUACUGGGGGAUAGCCCGAUGAAAGUUGGAUUAAUACCGCAUAUAGCUAUAUAGUUGCAUGAUUAUGUAGUGAAAGAUUUAUUGGUAUAGGAGGAGUCUGCGGCACAUUAGCUAGUAGGUGAGGUAAAGGCUUACCUAGGCGACGAUGUGUAGCCGGUCUGAGAGGAUGAACGGCCACAAUGGAACUGAGACACGGUCCAUACUCCUACGGGAGGCAGCAGUGGGGAAUAUUGCACAAUGGGGGAAACCCUGAUGCAGCAACGCCGCGUGAGUGAAGAAGGUUUUCGGAUUGUAAAGCUCUGUUAGCAGGGAAGAGGAAGGACGGUACCUGCAGAGGAAGCCACGGCUAACUACGUGCCAGCAGCCGCGGUAAUACGUAGGUGGCAAGCGUUGUUCGGAAUAACUGGGCGUAAAGGAUGCGUAGGCGGUUAAACAAGUUAUAUGUUAAAUAUAUAGGCUUAACCUGUAGAAAGCAUAUAAAACUGUUUAACUAGAGUGCAGGAGAGGUAAGUGGAAUUCCUAGUGUAGCGGUGAAAUGCGUAGAGAUUAGGAAGAACACCAGUGGCGAAGGCGACUUACUGGACUGUAACUGACGCUGAGGCAUGAGAGCAUGGGGAGCAAACAGGAUUAGAUACCCUGGUAGUCCAUGCUGUAAACGAUGGGUACUAGGUGUGGGUUGUGAAUAACAAUUCGUGCCGUCGCAAACGCAAUAAGUACCCCGCCUGA
rnacentral:rRNA from 1 species